AUCGCUUCUCGGCCUUUUGGCUAAGAUCAAGUGUAGUAUCUGUUCUUAUCAGUUUAAUAGUGUACCACACAACAGGUGUAUUUGUGCUGCUGCUUAUGUCUGUUUACUUGUGGUUUUGUAUAUAUCUUUUGCUCUUCCUUGUUUACAGUCAUUCAGACCAUUCCUUCACCCCUGUAUGAAGCCUAC
ensembl:snRNA U2 U2 spliceosomal RNA